rnacentral:rRNA from 1 species
UACGUAGGGUGCGAGCGUUAAUCGGAAUUACUGGGCGUAAAGCGUGCGCAGGCGGUUUUGCAAGCCAGAUGUGAAAUCCCCGGGCUUAACCUGGGAAUGGCAUUUGGGACUGCAAGGCUCGAGUGCGGCAGAGGAGACUGGAAUUCCUGGUGUAGCAGUGAAAUGCGUAGAUAUCAGGAGGAACACCGAUGGCGAAGGCAGGUCUCUGGGCUGACACUGACGCUCAUGCACGAAAGCGUGGGGAGCAAACAGG